UUACUUUAUCUGUAUGAUAUAAUGUAUUUAUUUAUAUGGGUUGUUUUUUUAUUUAUAGUUCUUGAUUUCCAUGAUAUGUUCCUCAUAUAACCUUCCUCUUUUUUCUUUGAGACCAAGUAUUUCCUCAUGUGUUGAAUGAAAGAACUACUACUUUACUGAAUUGUUGACAAGGGCUCCUCAUACUAGACGAGGGAUAUUAUCUACUUGAUUUUAUGCCGAGUUAGAUUCUCUAUAAGGUUUUCUAUUUAUUGAUUUAAUAUAAUACGUGGUUCUCAGAAAAGGUGCUCAAACUUGGAAGAGUUCAUAUAUUUGCGCAUCUCUAUUUGAUUGUCCUGAUUCUUUUGACUUCUUUUAUAUACGUUCAACAGUUGGUGGCUGGGGUCACACCCCACAGUAAAAAUCAAUCCAGACUCCCAGUAUUGUUUUCUUUUCAGUAACAAUAUUGUCCUAUUCUAUUGAUAUUGAAUAUGUUUUUUUUUUUUUUUUUUUUUUUUUUUUUUUUUUCAUUCAGCAGAAUUACAUUGGUGGUUGUUAUUAUUCUUAACACUAAUAUCCUGGAAUCGUCGCUCCUCUUACAAAAUUGAUUCAAUAACUGCUCCUGUUAUGAAACUGAUUCAGUAAUUGUUAUGAUUUGAUAAAAUGUUAAGGAUAUGCAGCUUUAUUAACAAUGCAGUUAAGACACCCGCAAAUUCUAGGAGUGUUGUUCCACUUACUUGAUCAUGAAGAUGGGAAAUUUGUUUUUCAAUUUAUGUGUGGUUUUUUUCAGUUGGUCUGUUGUAAUUCUGCUUUGACUGCUGCUAUUAGUGCUUUGAAAGAGCAGCUCGGUAUUGAUGUCACAAAGCAAAACAUUCAAUCCCAUCUAAGAACUUGGGACAAACAUUAUACAAUCACAAGUGACAUGCUUUCCAAAUCAGGUUUUUCUUGGGAUUACACUAGAGGAUCAAUACUUGCUAGUGAAGAAUCAGUUUGGAAUGCUUGGGUAAAGGUGAACUACUUGCCAAUUGCAUAGCAUGUUUAUAGUUGUUGAUUUCUGUCUAGCAGCAUUUGUCCUGUAUAUGUUGAAUCUGUGUUGUCAUGUUGCACACCUACACUGGCAUAUUUUAGUGUGUGAAACUUCCUUUUGAGCAUUUUGAAAUCUUCUUUCUAUUUUUUCCAGUAUUAUGUUGCAUUUCAGCUAGGAAUGUUUGAAGUAGUAUAUACUCCGCUGUAAUCUUUUAAGGUCCUUGGUUGGUCAAGUGUAGUCACAAAGAAGAAGAUAAUGUUUUCCAUAUAGCAACUAGAUUAUUUAUGAAGUGGGAUAGAGAGAGCUACAUGAAAUGAACUUGCCUACGCUUAUUUUGUAUGCUUGUGAGAAGAUAAAUGUUACCCUUUAUCGUAUCCCAUUUUAAAAUUGUCAUGUAAUGAAAUAUGAUAUCACAACCUACCAGUCUACAUCACCUUCUAUCCAUAUGGAUCUAAGACUAGUUUUUAGGUUUGCAUCUCAGACUAUGGAUAUAAAGUAAAAAAGCAACUAGAGGUCCUAAGUGACAAAAAAGUUGUUCAAUGUUAGAAACGACCAGUAACUAGAAGAGAACUACAUCAUCUUCUAUCUGUCUUAUACACUAGUUUUCUAGUAGCUCAGACUAAUUGAAUGGAUGUAAACUAUAAAGUUUAAAAAUAAAAAAAAACGGAAAACAUCUGGAGAGAGGGGGGGACAAUGUUGCUUGUGGCUUUGUGGUUAUGGUAUGAGUUUUUUUUGUAGAGACUUUUGCAGUCUGUAAUAUGUAUUCCUCUUUUGGUAGUGGCAAAUUAAAGGUUUCUAUCUAUAACUAUGACUAUUCAUAAAAAUUAAUGGAACACCAUAUAUAUAUAUACACACACACACACACACACAUGAGUCUUUUCUGAUAUAUUCCAACUCAAAUAUGAGUUUUAUCCUUUACAUUUGGUUUUUUCUUUUCUUUAUAAUCUUUGUUGGUUGAGAAGACAGUGUUUGCUUAAUGACAAAUCUGUAUGAGAGAAAAAAAAUGAGCAAGUGUUGUUUAAUGGGCUUGGAUUUAAGAGUAUGUGUAUGUUGUGAACAUGUUACUCCUAUUUCUUAAUUUUACCCUUUUUACUUCAAUCUACACUUCACCAUAAUAAGAAAAGCUCUUGAAUUAACUCUAAUUUCUUUUACUUGAAAAUUUAUAUUUUAUUUCUUUUGGUUUUGGUUAGUCACUCAAAAUUAAUUUGUUAUCUGUAACCCUUGGAAAGGAGUUUAUUAUUAUAAUUAUUAUUUUCUGAAGAGCAAAUUUACCUUCUUUUUUUUUUGGCUUAAAAGAGGCAAAAAGAACUUUCCAGUUUGUGAUAUUGUUUUAUGAGAGAGACUUGGAGAUCAAGAGAUGGUUUCAUGAGUCAUGACAUGCCUCUUUUUUGGCAGAAUACUUUCUUGGUUUCUUUGAUUUUGUGCUAAUGUAUAUCAUAAACAAUGUCAAUAAUUUACGUCGUUAGAAGUAGAACUCGCCUACGUGAUAAACUGUAAUUGCUUCUCAAUUUCUGUGAUGGCGUUAGGAAUGUGUAUAUUUUGCUGCUGCUUGCAUAUGACAGGUAAGGUGGAUAGAGAGGUGAUGCAACUUUUGGGUACGUAUAUCUACGCCUUCAAAAUAUUUGCAUUUUUUACUGAAAAGACGUGCUAAGUUUUUUCUCUACUGAAGUAUCCAUGAAUCAGAUCUUGUCACAUUUUUGUAUGUGAACAUAAUAGAUUUUCUAGGAUUUUUUAUAUAAUGCUAAAUAUUUAUCGGAGCUGAUUUCUAUCAUGCAGUGCUGCUUCAAGCAUCCUAUAUGUAUAUCAUCCUUGUGUCCUUUUUGAAAUAAUAACGAAAACCAAGUUUCAGAAGAUCACAAAAAACCUGUUCAAACUGUGGCCAUGAUUCUGAGAUGCACAUGCACGUCCAUGCCAUGCCGUUAAGGAUGCUCGGAAUCUGCCGAUUCAAAGCCUGCGAAUUCAAAAAAUUUGUUUAUUUGUUAUUUUUUAGUUACUGGUUGUAAAUUUAUUCUUUUAUUACUGUAAUUCAUGCUGUAUAAUUUUGCUUCAUGUAUAUGUGGUAUUGUGUACAAUGUGGCAUAUAAAUAGCAAUUGAAAAUUUCUCCA